AAGGUCCCGGGGCAGAUGCCGACUGAGAUUCAUUUUGGCUUCAAACAGGAGUAAACAAGUCUGUCGCCUCAGCGAGUCAGAGUUGAGCAAUUUUCCGGUGCUUUGUAAAUCAAGAGGUGGAUCUAGAAAGGAUGGCGCUUCGUCUGUUUGUGACUUUGCUUCUUGGUGUCGCGUGUAUGGAUUUUGUUAGCAGUUCAAGUUUGUGCCCGACUGAAUGGCCGAAGAGUAAGGUGUUCUUAACUCCGGGAUACUACCCGACAGAUCUUGUAGCGGCCCGUGAGCGCUGUGAGGGAUGUGAAGGGUUCAAACUCUGCUCUCUCGACCAACUGAAGGAAGCCUAUAACAUAUACAUCGAGAUUGACCAAUGGGGCCUGGUUGACGUAGCUGGAAAGGUCGCGCGUGUCGUCGAAUGCACUUCGGCCGAUUUAAGACUUGGGUGCUAUCGCAAGUACCGCUCGGCUGGACAGCAAAAAGGCUGGAUACCAACUAAAACCAACACGGAUCUUGCAAGAGCAUAUUGCUGUUCUUAAACCCUUUAAGAAAUAACCAGAAAGUUCAUUCAUAAAUACGAUUAUGAAUAAAUCCUGACAUCACGCAAUCGGCAGUGAAAAUUCUCUUCUUUUUUCCCAAGAGAAGUUAAAAUUGAGGUCUUUAACUCAUAUCUGUGCUCUGCAAUACUCAACGCAUGAUAUUGGACUUAUUGGAUUUCCCUAUAAAUGGCAUAUCAAAUUUUGUUUUUAACUAACGUUACGACAAUGCUUCAGUGGCGAUGCCUAAGGUCAAUGUUGUAUCUAAUUACAAGCACAAGCAUCUCAGUGCAACCAGUGUAAGUUUAAGAUGUAAAGGUUGAAAAAUAAACAUUCACCGAAAGUGCUCACAAAUUA